rnacentral:tRNA from 1 species
GGUCCUGUGGCGCAAACGGUAGCGCAUCUGACUCCAGAUCAGA